rnacentral:rRNA from 1 species
UGGGGAAUCUUCCGCAAUGGACGAAAGUCUGACGGAGCAACGCCGCGUGAGUGAAGAAGGUUUUCGGAUCGUAAAGCUCUGUUGUUUGAGACGAACGUGCAAUUUUUGAAUAAGGAAUUGUAAUGACGGUAUUAAACGAGAAAGCCACGGCUAACUACGUGCCAGCAGCCGCGGUAAUACGUAGGUGGCAAGCGUUGUCCGGAAUUAUUGGGCGUAAAGGGAGCGCAGGUGGGAAAGUCAGUCGAUUUUAAAAGUGCGGGGCUCAACCCCGUGAGGGAAUCGAAACUACUUUUCUUGAGUGCAGGAGAGGAAAGCGGAAUUCCUAGUGUAGCGGUGAAAUGCGUAGAUAUUAGGAGGAACACCAGUGGCGAAGGCGGCUUUCUGGACUGUAACUGACACU